rnacentral:rRNA from 1 species
UACAGAGGGUGCGAGCGUUAAUCGGAAUUACUGGGCGUAAAGCGUGCGUAGACGGUUAUCUAAGUCGGAUGUGAAAGCCCCGGGCUCAACCUGGGAAUUGCAUUCGAGACUGAAUAGCUAGGGUACGGUAGAGGGAAGCGGAAUUUCCGGUGUAGCGGUGAAAUGCGUAGAUAUCAGAAGGAACAUCAGUGGCGAAAGCGGCUUCCUGGACCAGUACCGACGUUCAGGCACGAAAGCGUGGGGAGCAAACAGG